rnacentral:rRNA from 1 species
AUACGUAGGGGGCGAGCGUUGUCCGGAAUGACUGGGCGUAAAGGGCGCGUAGGCGGCCCGGUAAGUCUGGAGUGAAAGUCCUGUUUUUAAGAUGGGAAUUGCUUUGGAUACUGUCGGGCUUGAGUGCAGGAGAGGUAAGUGGAAUUCCCAGUGUAGCGGUGAAAUGCGUAGAGAUUGGGAGGAACACCAGUGGCGAAGGCGACUUACUGGACUGUAACUGACGCUGAGGCGCGAAAGUGUGGGGAGCAAACAGGAUUAGAAACCCUGGUAGUCCACACUGUAAACGAUGAAUGCUAGGUGUAGGGGGUAUCGACCCCUUCUGUGCCGCAGUCAACACAAUAAGCAUUCCGCCUGGGGAGUACGGCCGCAAGGUUGAAACUCAAAGGAAUUGACGGGG